rnacentral:rRNA from 1 species
GACGAACGCUGGCGGCGUGCUUAACACAUGCAAGUCGAACGGAAAGGCCCUGCUUUUGUGGGGUGCUCGAGUGGCGAACGGGUGAGUAACACGUGAGUAACCUGCCCUUGACUUUGGGAUAACUUCAGGAAACUGGGGCUAAUACCGGAUAGGAGCUCCUGCUGCAUGGUGGGGGUUGGAAAGUUUCGGCGGUUGGGGAUGGACUCGCGGCUUAUCAGCUUGUUGGUGGGGUAGUGGCUUACCAAGGCUUUGACGGGUAGCCGGCCUGAGAGGGUCACCGGCCACAUUGGGACUGAGAUACGGCCCAGACUCCUACGGGAGGCAGCAGUGGGGAAUAUUGCCCAAUGGGCGGAAGCCUGACGCAGCAACGCCGCGUGCGGGAUGACGGCCUUCGGGUUGUAAACCGCUUUCGCCUGUGACGAAGCGUGAGUGACGGUAAUGGGUAAAGAAGCACCGGCUAACUACGUG